rnacentral:rRNA from 1 species
UACGGAGGGUGCGAGCGUUGUCCGGAAUCACUGGGCGUAAAGGGCGCGUAGGUGGCCGAGCAAGGUCGCGGUGAAAGCCCGGGGCUCAACCCCGGGUCGGCCGUGGCAACUACUGGGCUGGAGCACUGUAGGGGCGGGUGGAAUUCCGGGUGUAGCGGUGGAAUGCGUAGAGAUCCGGAAGAACACCGGUGGCGAAGGCGGCCCGCUGGGCAGUUGCUGACGCUGAUGCGCGAAAGCGUGGGUAGCAAACAGG